AUUUUAUUUUCCAACAGGACCGCACUGCCAAAGGAGGAAGAUGAGAGACACCAGAACAAUCAAGGCAGAUGACCUGAAGGCAGCGAUUAAAGCCAUCUGGGCUUCCAGAACCACGCAGCAGAACCACAGAGCGAUGGCCUCUAAGCCACGGUGCACUGAUGCAGGAAUUCAUGCAAGAGAUUAGAUUAGAUUAGAGGAGCCCAACCAUGGAUUGAGUGCAGAGAAAUGGACAGUUUCCAGAAGCCUGACAUUUCUACUUAAAUCAUCCUUUUUAACGUCUGUUCUUCUAUUAUUCUAAGGUUCUGAGACAUUGAAUUUUGGGUUUUCUUUACCUGUCAGCCAUAAUCAUCAAGAGUAAAAUAAAUAGUAGAUUGAAAUAUUUCACUCUGUGUAAUGAAGCUCUAUAUAAUAACUGUUUGACUUUCUGAAAUCCCUUAUAUUAUAAGUAAUAUAGUAGAAGUUAAUUUUUUGUACUGUAUAGACUGCUUGGUAUUAUCUUGAAGGUCACAGAGUGUUUGCUUCUCCCUACCCCUUAGCUUGACAAUGUAAGCAGGGAUUCCUUUGGAUAAUAAAAAGAGAGGAGGCGACGGAGUUGCUUUAGAGCCAGUAGGAGAUCUGUAUUAAGCAUCUCCAUUGGCUCUCCUUACAAGUUUGAAAACUAA